GACGAACGCUGGCGGCGUGCUUAACACAUGCAAGUCGAACGGAAAGGCCCUGCUUUUGUGGGGUGCUCGAGUGGCGAACGGGUGAGUAACACGUGAGUAACCUGCCCUUGACUUUGGGAUAACUUCAGGAAACUGGGGCUAAUACCGGAUAGGAGCUCCUGCUGCAUGGUGGGGGUUGGAAAGUUUCGGCGGUUGGGGAUGGACUCGCGGCUUAUCAGCUUGUUGGUGGGGUAGUGGCUUACCAAGGCUUUGACGGGUAGCCGGCCUGAGAGGGUGACCGGCCACAUUGGGACUGCGAUACGGCCCAGAAUCCUACGGGAGGCAGCAGUGGGGAAUAUUGCACAAUGGGCGGAAGCCUGAUGCAGCAACGCUGCGUGCGGGAUGACGGCCUUCGGGUUGUAAACCGCUUUCGCCUGUGACGAAGCGUGAGUGACGGUAAUGGGUAAAGAAGCACCGGCUAACUACGUG
rnacentral:rRNA from 1 species